UACGUAGGGGGCAAGCGUUGUCCGGAAUCAUUGGGCGUAAAGCGCGUGUAGGCGGCCCGAUAAGUCCGCUGUGAAAGUCCAGGGCUCAACCCUGGGAUGCCGGUGGAUACUGUCGGGCUCGAGUCCGGAAGAGGCGAGUGGAAUUCCUGGUGUAGCGGUGAAAUGCGCAGAUAUCAGGAGGAACACCAAUAGCGAAGGCAGCUCGCUGGGACGUUACUGACACUGAGGCGCGAAAGCGUGGGGAGCGAACAGG
rnacentral:rRNA from 1 species